rnacentral:rRNA from 2 species
GUCCAUACUCUACGGGAGGCAGCAGUAGGGAAUUCUUCCACAAUGGUCGCAAGCCUGAUGGAGCAACACCGCGUGAGUGAAGAAGGGUUUCGGCUCGUAAAGCUCUGUUGUUGGAGAAGAACGUGCGUGAGAGUAACUGUUCACGCAGUGACGGUAUCCAACCAGAAAGUCACGGCUAACUACGUGCCAGCAGCCGCGGUAAUACGUAGGUGGCAAGCGUUAUCCGGAUUUAUUGGGCGUAAAGCGAGCGCAGGCGGUUGCUUAGGUCUGAUGUGAAAGCCUUCGGCUUAACCGAAGAAGUGCAUCGGAAACCGGGCGACUUGAGUGCAGAAGAGGACCAGUGGAACUCCCAUGUGUAGCGGUGGAAUGCGUAGAUAUAUGGAAGAACACCCAGUGGCGAAGGCGGCUGUCUGGUCUGCAACUGAUCGCUGAGGCUCGAAAGCAU